GGAUUCUCUGCUGUUCCUGAGGGAAUUCAAGGACCAACGGAAGCAACCGAAGCUAGCUGUUCCAGAGGCCAGGUCCGCUUCCGGAAUCGCGACUAUUACCGAAAUAAUACGUGAACAUAAUGAGAUUUACCGUCACACGGUGACAUCGCAUACGGACAUCAAUAAAAUUACAUGGGUUUUCAAUGUAAUAACGCAUGGUUCUCACAAUAUUUCGGAAGUAAGUCUAUCACUCUGCCUCUGUCCUUACUCGGACGCUGUCAAAAGUGGGGCUGGAAAAUGGCAAAGUGGGGAGGCUAAUAGGUACACCAAGAUGGUUGCAAAAUAUUUUACACGUGCAUUCAGAUUGUUUUUAAAUAACACGUUCUACUGGAGUGCAUCGAAAAGGUCUUGCAUAUUUGCUCUUAGGUGAAGAUUUGUACCAUAUGCUAUUGGGGUAUGUUAAUUACUGCUGUUGACCUAACUCUGGAAAGUGCACCUCUACUCUUCAUCCUCAUUCCAUCACUUCUCGUCUUUCCUCAUCUCCUACCUACCAAGUGAGUUAUUCCUCUACCAGUAUUGUUACUACACUUUUCAGUUACAAUUUCCAGGUUCCACUGAAUUGUGCACCUCAUUAAGCCGAACAUGUGUGUAUAGUGUGUUCCACUGGUCCUCUGAAUGAUCUGCUUCAUUCUGCUCCAUUCAUGUUCAGUCAUGUACAUUACCGAUUGUGGCCUCGGGAGAUGCUUCCCAGAAGAACACUGGCUUCUUUUCCUGGAUAGCCAGCAACCGCGAACUCGAUUCUGCAGAUAAACAGCAAACGAUGCGCUCAUAAAAUGCCAAAAGAAUGUUGAAGAUUAGGGUAAGCCAGCAUUCAUAUAUGCUUUUAAGUUAGUUAUAUACAGUAUUGAGACCAUUGGAAUGUUUUUAUUUGCACUGCAUUAAAGAGGGAGUGGAUGUCAUUAGGAAAGACAUUUAAGAUGAUGUUGCGGGGUGGGAUCACCUUCUUUCGUUCCGUUAUGUCAGUUCGUUCAGUCAAUUAGUUUGAUUUCUUCAUUUCUUAGCACCUGGUGCGGUUUUCUGUCUUUUUCUUUUUUCUUCUAUUUUAAAUUACUACAUGUCUAGCCGUUAGCCUUUUAAAAUUUGCCGAUGGUCGUCGCCAGAACACAUUGAACCUCCUGCCUUUCAUCUGUUUUGCUUUUACGUAGGAAUUAAAUCUUCCGCAUGAAGGGGUCAAUGGUCCUGUAUUGGAUUAAAGGAACCAGGGAUUAAAGCGUCUGCUUGAGUCUAGUUAACUGUUCCUGAACUGGUUUUUCCAGGAUGAGGCGUAGUAAUUCUAAAAUCGACACGAGUCUUAGUGAAUCUAGCCUCGAGUUUUUUUUUUUUUCCUUUUGUCUCACAACAAGGAAAUAAAUCGAAUUGAUUUCAUCUUGUAAAUCCUUUCCUAGUAUUUUCUUUUCUCUUGUGUAAAUAAUGGAAUACGUUAGCUUGUCCAUCGAGUCUCAUCUAAUUCCCAAAUUAAAUUUUUUUUUCUUCAAAUCCUUCCUCAUGCGAAACAUUUGUUUAAUUAAAAAUUUUUUU